GCCAGUGUGUCAUAGUGGUUUGAGUGCUGGACUACAAGUCUGGAGAUCAGUGUUCGAUUCCCUGCUUGGCCA